rnacentral:rRNA from 1 species
UGGGGAAUAUUGGACAAUGGGCGAAAGCCUGAUCCAGCCAUGCCGCGUGUGUGAAGAAGGUCUUCGGAUUGUAAAGCACUUUAAGUUGGGAGGAAGGGCAGUAAGCGAAUACCUUGCUGUUUUGACGUUACCGACAGAAUAAGCACCGGCUAACUCUGUGCCAGCAGCCGCGGUAAUACAGAGGGUGCAAGCGUUAAUCGGAAUUACAGGGCGUAAAGCGCGCGUAGGUGGUUCGUUAAGUUGAAUGUGAAAGCCCCGGGCUCAACCUGGGAACUGCAUCCAAAACUGGCGAGCUAGAGUAGGGCAGAGGGUGGUGGAAUUUCCUGUGUAGCGGUGAAAUGCGUAGAUAUAGGAAGGAACACCAGUGGCGAAGGCGACCACCUGGGCUCAUACUGACACUGAGGUGCGAAAGCGUGGGGAGCAAACAGG